AGAAAGGACUUUGCAGAGAUUUUGCAUGAUGCCAUCGUAAGAAGUGUUAACAGAGCAUAAAUGGCAGAAGAAAUAAUGUGGGCUCAUUAGUGUUGCUCUUGCAGUUCUGCUGACAGAUCUGGCCUGAGCAGAAAUCCUCCAUUCAGUUGUGUACUUCUGGUUUAUAUAAAUGUCAGUAUUUCAGCUAGAUGCUAUGACUGGUGCAGUCACAAACUUCACAAAAUCCAUAUUAGGAUCUUUGGGGUCCUUAAAAUUUGUGCUGGCAAAUGAAGAAUGUAAUAAAAACAUUCUUAGGCAUAGCUAGUUUCUGAGCUUUUGAUAGUUUGGUAGUUAUUAUCUUGCAUUAAAAAAAAAAAAGAAAGGUCCCCCAAAUCCUUCCAAGCCUAAGGAAAAGAAACAGAAAAAUUGAGGAAAAAUCUAUUUUUUUUUGUGAUAGAGACAAUAAAGACUGCUGUGUAUUAGAAGUCUUGCAGUUGUCAGUGGUGGGUAGCACUUGUUUCUAGAUGAAAGGACUAGUGACAUACUGGACUUGAAAUCAUUUUGAUUACAGCCUUCCUUCUCUUCUCUGCUUGAAUUACAAUUUUAUUAAAUACGAUUUCAAGGAGUGCCACUGCUGGGAACCAGUAGCCAGGGCACAUCUCAAAGCAACAUCUCACAGUCCAAACUAUGUAGAAGACCUCGUAAAACAGGCCCACUGUGGCAAGAAGCAUUUAUUUGCUGCAUCUCUUGGCAAUGUGAGUACCUGUUCGUUGUACAAGCUGGCUAAAUUUGCUGCAGCUCCACUCUGACCAAUGCCUCUAUGUUGUACACUUCUGGAGUACAGAGGGGCCCCAAGUAAUUUGUGCUGCUAUGAGACUACAAAAUGUAGAAAGCUGUUGAGGAGAUGUGAUGGAGAGAAAACGUAACUGUCCCUUUCCCAGACAGUCAGAGUGCAUCUGGGCCUUGAGAGACUAUGCCAGAAUUUUUCUAUCAAAAACCUCUGGAUAUAAUCUAAUAUUGAUUAGGUUUCAGCUGACCUGCUCACUUUGGCACAUGGACUUCCCUUUGCACGGUGCCAUUGAAGGAGAAAGUAGCACAGGCCAGAGAAGAGGCAUGAAACACACCCAGUAC
rnacentral:lncRNA from 1 species